CCUACGGGGGGCUGCAGUGGGGAAUAUUGGACAAUGGGGAGAACCCUGAUCCAGCCAUGCCGCGUGUGUGAAGAAGGCCCUCGGGUUGUAAAGCACUUUCAGUGAGGAAGAACGCCUGGUGGUUAAUACCCAUCAGGAAAGACAUCACUCACAGAAGAAGCACCGGCUAACUCCGUGCCAGCAGCCGCGGUAAUACGGAGGGUGCGAGCGUUAAUCGGAAUUACUGGGCGUAAAGCGCGCGUAGGUGGCUUGAUAAGCCGGUUGUGAAAGCCCCGGGCUCAACCUGGGAACGGCAUCCGGAACUGUCAAGCUAGAGUGCAGGAGAGGAAGGUAGAAUUCCCGGUGUAGCGGUGAAAUGCGUAGAGAUCGGGAGGAAUACCAGUGGCGAAGGCGGCCUUCUGGACUGACACUGACACUGAGGUGCGAAAGCGUGGGUAGCAAACAGGAUUAGAUACCCCGGUAGUC
rnacentral:rRNA from 1 species